rnacentral:rRNA from 1 species
UACGGGGGGGGCAAGCGUUGUUCGGAAUUACUGGGCGUAAAGGGCUUGUAGGUGGCCAACUAAGUCAGACGUGAAAUCCCUCGGCUUAACCGGGGAACUGCGUCUGAUACUGGAUGGCUUGAGUUCGGGAGAGGGAUGCGGAAUUCCAGGUGUAGCGGUGAAAUGCGUAGAUAUCGGGAGGAACACCGGUGGCGAAGGCGGCGACCUGGGUAGAUACUGACGCUGAGGCGCGAAAGCGUGGGGAGCAAACAGG